AAAGUCUCAAAUUACUCAAAAAGAAAAAUAUGGUAAUUGGACUCCCACACAUAAAUGUGGAAAGUAAAAUUUGUGAUGGUUGUAUUUUUGGAAAAAUGCAUAGACUACCCUUCACAAAAACCUCAUGGAGAGGUAGAGUUCCUUUGGAACUAGUUCAUGCCGAUGUAUGUGGCCCAACUAAGACACCUUCUCUCGGAGGAAAAAGAUAUUUUCUCUUGUUUGUUGAUGAUUAUAGUCGAAUGAUGUGGGNNNNNNNNNNNNNNNNNGAAAAGUCUCAAAUUACUCAAAAAGAAAAAUAUGGUAAUUGGACUCCCACACAUAAAUGUGGAAAGUAAAAUUUGUGAUGGUUGUAUUUUUGGAAAAAUGCAUAGACUACCCUUCACAAAAACCUCAUGGAGAGGUAGAGUUCCUUUGGAACUAGUUCAUGCCGAUGUAUGUGGCCCAACUAAGACACCUUCUCUCGGAGAAAAAAUAUAUUUUCUCUUGUUUGUUGAUGAUUAUAGUCGAAUGAUGUGGGUAUUUUUUCUAAAAGAAAAAUCAGAAGUUUUCUCAAAGUUUGUACAAUUUAAAGCAUCAGUGGAGAAGCAAAGUGGUCAUAAGUUGAAGAUUUUGAGGACGGAUCGUGGAGGAGAAUUCACAUCCAAGGAGUUUAACGAAUUUUGCAAGGCCCAAUGAAUAAAAAAGGAGCUUACAGUCAGAUAUACUCCCCAACAAAAUGGAGUGGCAGAACGUAGAAAUCGAUCCAUAGUGGAGAUGGCACGGAGCAUGUUAAAAGGUGAACAUCUUCCAAACAAAUUCUGGACUGAAGCUGUUUAUACCUCUGUCUAUAUUUUGAACAGGUCCCCCAUGAAAGAUGUGCCAAAUAAAACUCCUUAUGAGGUAUGGUUCCAAAAGAAAGCGAAUGUAGAUUUCUUGAAGGUAUUUGGAUGCAUAGCUUAUGCAUACAUUCCUGAUCAAGUCAAAAAAGAAAAAUUUGAUGAGAAAGGAGAAAAAUUCAUCUUUAUUGGCUACAGUGAAGAAUCCAA
rnacentral:lncRNA from 1 species